UGAACGCUAGCGGCAGGCUUAACACAUGCAAGUCGAGGGGCAGCACGGGUAGCAAUACCUGGUGGCGACCGGCGCAAGGGUGCGUAACGCGUGAGCAACAUGCCCUAUACAGGGGGAUAAUCCAGGGAAACUUGGUCUAAUAUCCCAUAGCAUUUAGAGGAGGCAUCUUCACUAAAUUAAAGCUUCGGUGGUAUAGGAUUGGCUCGCGUGACAUUAGCUAGAUGGCGAGGUAACGGCCCACCAUGGCUAUGAUGUCUAGGGGUUCUGAGAGGAAGACCCCCCACACUGGGACUGAGACACGGCCCAGACUCCUACGGGAGGCAGCAGUGAGGAAUAUUGGACAAUGGAUGGAAAUCUGAUCCAGCCAUGCCGCGUGCAGGAAGACGGCCCUAUGGGUUGUAAACUGCUUUUAUAUGGGAGCAAUAAGGUUUACGAGUAGACCGAUGAGAGUACCAUAUGAAUAAGCAUCGGCUAACUCCGUG
rnacentral:rRNA from 1 species